AGUGCGUACUAGGUUCUUUGGCUUUUCGUCGGUUUUCUUGUCGUGGCCUUUACUGGUGGCGGCAAGUGGCUGGCAAUUUUACUUUGAACAAAUCAGAGUGCUCAACACAGGCGUUUCGCUUGUAUGCUUUUGCAUGGAAUAAUAGAAUAUGACUUCGGUCUAGUUUUAUUGGUUUUAUAGAUCGUUGUAAUGAUUAAAAGAGACAAACGGGGGCAUUCGUAUUGUUGCGUGAGAGGUGAAAUUCUUGGACCGCAGCAAGACGACCUACAGCGAAAGCAUUUGCCAAGCUUGUCUUCAUUAAUCAAGAACGAAAGUCAGAGGAUCGAAGGUGAUCAGAUACCGCCCUAGUUCUGACCGUAAACGAUGCCAACUAGCGAUUCGCCGGCGGAAUAUUUGCCCUGGCGAGGAGCUUCCCGGAAACGAAAGUCUUCCGGUUCCGGGGGAAGUAUGGUUGCAAAGCUGAAACUUAAAGGAAUUGACGGAAGGGCACCACCAGGAGUGGAGCCUGCGGCUUAAUUUGACUCAACACGGGAAAACUCACCCGGCCCGGACACUAUAAGGAUUGACAGAUUGAUAGCUCUUUCAUGAUUUGGUGGAUGGUGGUGCAUGGCCGUUCUUAGUUCGUGGAGUGAUUUGUCUGGUUUAUUCCGAUAACGAGCGAGACUCUAGCCUACUAAAUAGUUCGCUCAUUGUUUAUUGUGUAGCGGUACUUCCUAGAGGAAUUUUCGG
rnacentral:rRNA from 1 species